rnacentral:lncRNA from 1 species
GUUUACAACCUGCCGGACUUCCUUUAGGCAUUGUACACAGUAUGUCCACAAUGCAUUUAUAUUAAAUGCAUCAGCAUUGCUAGAACAGUCUGGACAGUAUGAUCCUAAUACAGCUUGCCUACUGAUUUGAAUACGUUUUUAAACCAGUGGCAGGCAGACUGUAGAAUGAGGCUGGUGAAAAACAGGGAACUGAACAAGAAAAAUAGAUUGCAGCAGCAGGGAGCUCAAGUAAGGACAUGGGCAAUCAUUCUUUCUGGUAAGCAAGUUUGGUGAUUUUGUUGAAAUGAUCUUAAGUGUGGUGGUGUUGAGUGCUGAGAAUUCAGAUAUUUUAAUAGCUGAGAUUUAUUUCAUUUAUAGGUUUCAGUUUAAUGCCUAAUUAAAAUAUAUAUUAUGGUUUAAUAAGACCAAGACUCUUCUGAUGUUGAGAAUACUGUGAGUAAAACAUGAUAAAUGGCAGAGACUAACACUGAGCUUCUUUGCUCCUAGCAAUGAAAGAUGUUCACCAUAUAAUACGCAUGAGGUCACAAUUCUAAUACUCUCUAUUUGCCCUUCCUUUUACAUGAGAUAGGAUCAUCCUGAAAGCUGCAAUCCCUGAUGUUUAUCUUCCUUAUGACUGCAAUCAUGUAUUUUAUGCAAGGUUUUAUCCUGGACAACAGUGAAUAAAAAAUGUAUCUACUUUUAUCACAUUAAUUAAAGCUACAAAUAUAUAUUGCUCACAUACUGUGUAUAACCUUCUUUGGCAAAGGCUGAGGAGAAUAAAAACAUUUAAGGACUGACUUUACCUUUUUAGGAAUUAAGAGUAUCACUUGAAAAAAAAAAAAAACAACAACCAGCACUACAAGGUCAACAAUCCUGGCAGAUAAGGGAUAGAAACACUGAGUGCUGUAAGAGGUCAAAGGAGGGUGAGCUCAUCUGGCUGGAUAUUCAAGGAAGACUUCCUGGAAGGAGUGGGGUUUGAGCUAGGCCUUAAAAAAUGAGCAUAUGGGAGGUAAAGAGAAGACAAGAAGGUUUUCCAGGCAAAGAGAAUAGAGAGUGUUCUUGUAUACAUUCUUUGGAGAAACUUAUUAAACUAAAUCUAAACUGGAUUUACAAGAAAAACCUCCUCCUUUUCCUACCUCUUAGCCCCUAAAAGGAAGAACAAGGAAAGUAUUGAUUCAGAUGUCAAAAAGUUUAGGGGUAUCUCUAGCUUCAGAUAUGGUUGGAGGCAAAUGCCCAAAUGCCACUGUGAUUCUCUGUCUUCAUUCUCAGAAGGCUGUCCUCUAGAGUGGGGCCUUGAAGGUCCAGAUUCAUGUCCUGCCAACUCAGCAACCCUACAGAAUUCAGGCACUUACAUCUUGGGAUUGAGUCUCAUUUGCCUGACUUGGGACAAGCCUGGCCCUGAGCCAGUCACUGCAGCCAAGAUGACAAAAUACUCUUAUUGCAUAACCUAAGUCAUAACCCCCUGGAAUUUGGUUAGGCUGGGGAUGGGGGAUUAGUGCUACCUUAAUCUAAUAUGUGAUGAGCUAGGUGGGGAUAAUUCUAUUAGAAAGAUCUGAGAGAUACUCCUAGAAGGAGAAAUGGAUGCUAGGAGAAAUCAAGACGGAAUAAAUACAUAUUCAGAAACGGGUGAGAGGUCAAAGUUUACACAGACCUAGAUGUCUGUAAAUACAAGCACACAUAAUAAUUAUUAAAAUAAUUUUGUAUUUUCAGAUAUUUGGUUUACUUUCUGUCUGUUUUUAAAAUUAUUAAACAAUCCAGGAUUUGAAAACACUAAGUCUA